UGUUCCAGGUGUUGGUAAUGAUAAUAGCUAUGUUGAUUUGUAGUUACUGUAGAAUUAAUGUUGCAUAUUGUUUACACGGAUUUUAGGUACGCUUGGUAUAUCUGACUUGGCGGAGCUUGGUGAACGUCGUGUGCACCCUAGUGCCAUACACCGGGGUGUGUUUAAUUGACCGGGAAUAAAACGUUCUCACCCCGUAA